rnacentral:rRNA from 1 species
UACGUAGGGGGCAAGCGUUGUCCGGAUUUAUUGGGCGUAAAGAGCGUGUAGGCGGCCAGGUAGGUCUGGUGUGAAAACUCGAGGCUUAACCUCGAGAUGUCAUCGGAAACCAUCUGGCUAGAGUCCGGGAAGAGGAGAGUGGAAUUCCUGGUGUAGCGGUGAAAUGCGCAGAUAUCAGGAAGAACACCCAUGGCGAAAGCGCUCUCUGGGAACGGUACUGACGCUGAGACGCGAAAGCGUGGGGGAGCGAACAGG